rnacentral:rRNA from 1 species
CGUGAACGCUGGCGGUAGGCCUAACACAUGCAAGUCGAGCGGAAGCACAGUAAGAGCUUUCUCUUACGGGUGGCGAGUGGCGGGUGGGUGAGGAGUACAUCGCCAUCUACUUUUUCGUGGGGGAUAACGUGGGGCAACUUCCGCUAAUACCGCAUAUGACGUACGGGUGAAAUCAACAGAUCUUCGGACCUUGCCCGAUUGAAUGAGCCGAUGUCGGAUUAGCUAGUUGGCGGGGUAAAGGCCCACCAAGGCGACGAUCCGUAGCUGGUCUGAGAGGAUGAUCAGCCACACUGGAACUGAGACACGGUCCAGACUCCUACGGGAGGCAGCGGUGGGGAAUAUUGGACAAUGGGCGCAAGCCUGAUGGAGCCAUACCGCGUGGGUGAAGAAGGUCUUCGGGUUGUAAAGCCCUUUUGUUGGGGAAGAAAAGAAGCGGGUGAAUACACCGCUGUUCUGACGGUACCCAAUGAGUAAGCAACGGCUAACUUCGUG